rnacentral:rRNA from 1 species
UACGUAGGGGGCAAGCGUUGUCCGGAUUUAUUGGGCGUAAAGAGCGUGUAGGCGGCCAAGCAGGUCCGCUGUGAAAACUCGAGGCUCAACCUCGAGAGGUCGGUGGAAACCGUUUGGCUAGAGUCCGGAAGAGGAGAGUGGAAUUCCCGGUGUAGCGGUGAAAUGCGCAGAUAUCGGGAAGAACACCCGUGGCGAAGGCGGCUCUCUGGGACGGUACUGACGCUGAGAUGCGAAAGCGUGGGGAGCAAACAGG